UAUUCAGGCCUGCAGAAUUCAGUGGACUGUGUAGUCCAUGGGGUCGCAGAGUCGGACUGAGCGACUUUCACUUUCACAUUCAAACCGACGCUCAGAGAGUAGCGAAGGAGAGGCUCUGCACCAAAAAACCGCCGAGCCCGAACUCCUGCGCGGGCGCCCCUCCGGGUCCGCUCAGCCUCCACAUCGCUUCGUUCCCCUCAAGAGGGAGCGACGCGCUUGAAUCGGGAUCCGCCGCGCGCCUCAGUUUAGAGCGGGACCCCAGUAGCCACCGAAGUUCCCCCGCUUGCAGCCCUACCUGGUUGCUGCGGAGACCAUGACGCGUCAAUGCCACCAGCCCGUGACGUAUUUUUCCCUCGCCCGGUGAUACGGCUCCGUCCAAUCACGGCCGUGAGACUGCGCGUGCGCCCCUCAAGCCACAGGGAGGAGCUGCGGGAUGGGGGUGGUCUGAACGUUGUCCUCUGGUGUACAGGCCCUACUUCCACAUUCCGGAGGGAAAUUAAGAAAGUCACGGUGGGAAAGAAACAUCGCCCUUCUCAGCUGGCAUCGCCGAGAGACCACCCGUCCCUCUAGGUCACUCUGCCCCACAGGGGACUGCACGUCCAGAAUGCUUCGCAGGUAGGCGGGCAGUAGGACGUCAGCAGCCUGCGACCACUUCCGGCGUCCUGCUGACACGUCGGCUGGGAGCUGUGACAGACAGGAGGCCCCAACCCACGAGGUGAGACAAUGGGUCCCUGAAACCGGGAAGGGGCCCGGCUUUUCGGGGGUCGGUGUCUCCCGCCCGUUUUCUAUGGGAAAGUCUCAGGAUUUGAUGCUAAAAGGGUAUCCUACCCUGUAAUCCACCAACAGAAGUGCCGCUACAUGCCUGCCUGCCCCACUCGUAAUCACCCAAACCCAGGAACGGCCCAAAUCAUUCACUAACAGGCAGUUAAGGUAUAAUCUUUCAGUGGGCUGUCAGGAAAUCGACAGAAAGGGCGGAUGGCCCGUUGGCGAGUUGUAAAGGGAACUGUUACCGGACCAAGAUGGCGGAGUCAGGCUCCACCUCAUUUCCUGUUGUUGUUGUGCAGUCACAGUUUUGUCGGACUCUUUGUGAUCCCAUGGACUGCAGCACGCCAGGCUUAUCUCUUUCACUAUCUCCCAGUGCUUGCUCAAACU